rnacentral:rRNA from 1 species
UACGUAGGGUGCGAGCGUUGUCCGGAAUUAUUGGGCGUAAAGGGCUCGUAGGCGGUUUGUCGCGUCGGGAGUGAAAACCAGGUGCUUAACACCUGGCUUGCUUUCGAUACGGGCAGACUAGAGGUAUUCAGGGGAGAACGGAAUUCCUGGUGUAGCGGUGAAAUGCGCAGAUAUCAGGAGGAACACCGGUGGCGAAGGCGGCUACCUGGACCGGUUCUGACGCUGAGGCGCGAAAGCGUGGGUAGCAAACAGG